GGCUUGAUGGUCUAGCGGUAUGAUUCCUUCUUAGGGUAAUGUGAUAUUUAAUCACGUGGUUCCAGCUGGAGGAGGUCCCGGGUUCGAUUCCCGGUCAAGCCC
rnacentral:tRNA from 1 species